rnacentral:rRNA from 1 species
GAUGAACGCUGGCGGCGUGCCUAAUACAUGCAAGUCGAGCGAAUGGAUUAAGAGCUUGCUCUUAUGAAGUUAGCGGCGGACGGGUGAGUAACACGUGGGUAACCUGCCCAUAAGACUGGGAUAACUCCGGGAAACCGGGGCUAAUACCGGAUAACAUUUUGAACCGCAUGGUUCGAAAUUGAAAGGCGGCUUCGGCUGUAACUUAUGGAUGGACACGCGUCGCAUUAGCUAGUUGGUGAGGUAACGGCACACCAAGGCAACGAUGCGUAGCCGACCGGAGAGGGUGAUCGGCCACACUGGGACUGAGACACGGCCCAGACUCCUACGGGAGGCAGCAGUAGGGAAUCUUCCGCAAUGGACGAAAGUCUGACGGAGCAACGCCGCGUGAGUGAUGAAGGCUUUCGGGUCGUAAAACUCUGUUGUUAGGGAAGAACAAGUGCUAGUUGAAUAAGCUGGCACCUUGACGGUACCUAACCAGAAAGCCACGGCUAACUACGUGCCAGCCGCCGCCGUAA